AACGAACGCUGGCGGCAGGCUUAACACAUGCAAGUCGAGCGCCCCGCAAGGGGAGCGGCAGACGGGUGAGUAACGCGUGGGAAUCUACCCAUCUCUACGGAAUAACGCAUGGAAACGUGUGCUAAUACCGUAUACGUCCUUAGGGAGAAAGAUUUGUCGGAGAUGGAUGAGCCCGCGUUGGAUUAGCUAGUUGGUGGGGCAAAGGCCUACCAAGGCGACGAACCAUAGCUGUUCUGAGAGGAUGAUCAGCCACACUGGGACUGAGACACGGCCCAGACUCCUACGGGAGGCAGCAGGGGGGAAUAUUGGACAAUGGGCGCAAGCCUGAUCCAGCCAUGCCGCGUGAGUGAUGAAGGCCCUAGGGUUGUAAAGCUCUUUCACCGGUGAAGAUAAUGACGGUAACCGGAGAAGAAGCCCCGGCUAACUUCGUGCCAGCCGCCGCGGUAACAC
rnacentral:rRNA from 1 species